rnacentral:lncRNA from 1 species
UUCUCAAACUUAAAUUUAGAUAAAAUUAUACAAAAUUUAUCAAAACUAUAUACCUUUUUAAAUCUACCAUCUAAUCUUUUAAGCUUUUAAUUUUACUAUCAAAUAUUUUAGUUUGUUUAAUUUCAAUCAAUCAACAAUGCUUUGACUUUCAAAUUUAAGCUCUAAUUACUGACUUAAUGAAUUUAUAUUUACAAAAAAUUAUAUAUAGUAUAUUAGAAUGUAUUCAAAUUUUAAAAUUAAAGUGUCAUUGACUGGCUCAAAAUAAAUAAAUUAAAAAAAAUUAGUUAGUAAAAUCAAAAUUAUAAAAUUUUGAAUAGCUAAAUAAAAGUGAUUGAUAGUUUAGACAAAUUCUAAAUGAUUAUCUCUUAAAUUUAUUAUAAUUUUUGUCUUAAAUUUUGUAUAUUAUAAUAUUGAAUCCUCUGGUAUAAUUUAUGUGACUAAAUGAUAAUGUGUUACUAAUAUUAUAAUGAUAACAAUAUUACAGUCGAAAGCAAGUGGCAAAUGGCUCGAUGGUUGAUACUCGAAGUCUCAAGUUCGAACCCUAAUUGAUUCACAUUUCCAACUAAGUUUAUUUUUAAAUAAAAUAAACGAAACGGAUAGUGUGCUAUCUAUUUCUAAUUAUAAAUUAUACUAACAGAUCACCGUUUAGAACAUGAUAAUAUGAGUCUCAUAAUUUAAUGACUGAAAGUACAAUUUUAGUUAGGAAUGUAAAAUAGGCCGAAAGAUUCGUAGUUCAUAUUUUAUUUAGGAAUGUAAAAUAGGCCGAAAGAUUCGUAGUUUAUACGAUAUGACCUACGUUACUACGUAUCAUUAUAAGCUGAGUUAUGCCAUAUUAUCGGCUCGCGGUACAGCACGACACAGUCCGUUUGGAUUGUGCUAAUUAGAUCGGUAUAAUAUAUUUUUUUCCUUU